rnacentral:ncRNA from 14 species
GGCCUUAGCUCAGCUGGGAGAGCGCAACACUGGCAGUGUUGAGGUCAGCGGUUCGAUCCCGCUUGGCUC